rnacentral:misc_RNA from 1 species
GAUGAAGAACGUAGCGAAAUGCGAUAAGUAGUGUGAAUUGCAGAAUUCAGUGAAUCAUCGAAUCUUUGAACGCACAUUGCGCCCUUUGGUAUUCCAAAGGGCAUGCCUGUUCGAGGGUCAUUUGUACCCUCAAGCUUUGCUUGGUGUUGGGCGUCUUGUCUCUAGCUUUGCUGGAGACUCGCCUUAAAGUAAUUGGCAGCCGGCCUACUGGUUUCGGAGCGCAGCACAAGUCGCACUCUCUAUCAGCAAAGGUCUAGCAUCCAUUAAGCCUUUUUUUCAACUUUUGACCUCGGAUCAGGUAGGGAUACCCGCUGAACUUAAGCAUAUCAAUAAGCGGAGGA